GUGACGGAGGAUUUGGACCAUGAAAUACUGAAAGCCAGCGGGUUUCCUUCUAUGUUCAGAAAGCACAAGUGCAGGCAGCGCUCAGAACAAGGACCUGCGUAACGUGCGUGAAAGAGCUCAGAUGGGAUUUCCUCUGGAGGAGUGAUUGCAGCACGGUCAGGUCCAAAGGGCAUGUGCUGAGGCCGAGGACGAUACAGAGAAACCCCUCCCGGACUUUUAAAGUGGUUCGCAGGGCCAAAUUUGCGCCGCUAUUCAUUUCACAAUAAAUAAAAAAAAAUGUUCUCGGGAGAGUUUCUCUUGUGGCCCGGACAAAGGUUUAUUUGGUUUGAGGCUUUGAGCGCAGUGUGGACAAACAUCACAGAAAUAGGACGGAUCGUGCAGAACAUCGGCCAUAGGGCCAACAUCCAUUGCACAAUGCACCACUGCCAAAAAUAAAU